rnacentral:rRNA from 1 species
GACGAACGCUGGCGGCGUGCUUAACACAUGCAAGUCGAACGGAAAGGCCCUGCUUUUGUGGGGUGCUCGAGUGGCGAACGGGUGAGUAACACGUGAGUAACCUGCCCUUGACUUUGGGAUAACUUCAGGAAACUGGGGCUAAUACCGGAUAGGAGCUCCUGCUGCAUGGUGGGGGUUGGAAAGUUUCGGCGGUUGGGGAUGGACUCGCGGCUUAUCAGCUUGCUGGUGGGGUAGUGGCUUACCAAGGCUUUGACGGGUAGCCGGCCUGAGAGGGUGACCGGCCACAUUGGGCCUGAGAUACGGCCCAGACUCCUACGGGAGGCAGCAGUGGGGAAUAUUGCACAAUGGGCGGAAGCCUGAUGAAGCAACGCCGCGUGCGGGAUGACGGCCUUCGGGUUGUAAACCGCUUUCGCCUGUGACGAAGCGUGAGUGACGGUAAUGGGUAAAGAAGCACCGGCUAACUACGUG